ensembl:snRNA U6 U6 spliceosomal RNA
GUGCUCGCUUCAGCAGCACAUAUAUUAAAAUUGGAAGGAUAGAGAGAUUAAGCAUGGCCUUUGUGUAAGGAUAACAUGCAAAUUUGUGAAGAGCUCCAUAUAUAU